rnacentral:rRNA from 1 species
UACGAGAGGCCCAAACGUUAUUCGGAAUUACUGGGCUUAAAGAGUUCGUAGGCGGCGCAGAAAGUAGGGUGUGAAAGCCCUCGGCUUAACCGAGGAAUUGCGCUCUAAACUACUGUGCUUGAGGAACCUAGAGGUGAGCAGAACUGAUGGUGGAGCGGUGAAAUGCGUAGAGAUCGGGAAGAACACCAGUGGCGAAGGCGGCCGGCUGGGGGCGCCCUGACGCUGAGGCGCGAGAGCGUGGGGAGCAAACAGG